UACGUAGGGUGCAAGCGUUAAUCGGAAUUACUGGGCGUAAAGCGUGCGCAGGCGGUUCUGAAAGUCAGCUGUGAAAGCCCCGGGCUUAACCUGGGAAUGGCAUUGGAUACUGGCAACCUAGAAUGUGGUAGAGGGUGGCGGAAUUCCCGGUGUAGCAGUGAAAUGCGUAGAUAUCGGGAGGAACAUCCGUGGCGAAGGCGGCCACCUGGACCAACAUUGACGCUGAGGCACGAAAGCGUGGGGAGCAAACAGG
rnacentral:rRNA from 1 species